rnacentral:rRNA from 1 species
AUUGAACGCUGGCGGCGUGCUUAACACAUGCAAGUCGUGCGGUAACAGGCGUAGCAAUACGUGCUGACGAGCGGCGAACGGGUGCGUAAUACAUGGGAAUCUGCCCUUUAGUGGGGAAUAACCCGGCGAAAGCCGGGCUAAUGCCGCAUAAGAUCUUCGGAUGAAAGCGGGGGAUCGUAAGACCUCGCGCUGAUGGAUGAGCCCAUGUCGGAUUAGCUAGUUGGUGAGGUAACGGCUCACCAAGGCGACGAUCCGUAGCUGGUCUGAGAGGACGGCCAGCCACACUGGGACUGAGACACGGGCCCAGACUCCUACGGGAGGCAGCAGUGGGGAAUAUUGGACAAUGGGCGAAAGCCUGAUCCAGCGACGCCGCGUGUGU